GAUAAACGCUGGCGGCGUGCCUAACACAUGCAAGUCGAACGAAGCAUUUUAAAGGAAGUUUUCGGAUGGAAUUUAAGAUGACUGAGUGGCGGACGGGUGAGUAACGCGUGGAUAACCUGCCUUACACUGGGGGAUAACAGUUAGAAAUGGCUGCUAAUACCGCAUAAGCGCACAGUACUGCAUAGUACCGUGUGAAAAACUCCGGUGGUGUGAGAUGGAUCCGCGUCUGAUUAGUUAGUUGGCGGGGUAACGGCCCACCAAGACGACGAUCAGUAGCCGACCUGAGAGGGUGACCGGCCACAUUGGGACUGAGACACGGCCCAAACUCCUACGGGAGGCAGCAGUGGGGAAUAUUGCACAAUGGGGGAAACCCUGAUGCAGCGACGCCGCGUGAGUGAAGAAGUAUUUCGGUAUGUAAAGCUCUAUCAGCAGGGAAGAAGAUGACGGUACCUGACUAAGAAGCCCCGGCUAACUACGUGCCAGCAGCCGCGGUAAUACGUAGGGGGCAAGCGUUAUCCGGAUUUACUGGGUGUAAAGGGAGCGUAGACGGCGGAGCAAGUCUGAAGUGAAAGCCCGGGGCUCAACCCCGGGACUGCUUUGGAAACUGCUCUGCUAGAG
rnacentral:rRNA from 1 species